GAGACCCCUGUUGGUAAUUGCUAACUGUCCAGAGAUGGGUAGAGGCUAGUUACCAAGACUGCCGCUGCUAAAGCGGAGGAAGGAGGGGGCCACGGCAGGUCAGUAUGCCCCGAAACUCCUGGGCCACACGCGGGCUGCAAUGGUAGGGACAAUCGGCUCCAACCUCGAAAGAGGAAGGCAAUCCACAAACCCUACCUCAGUUGUGAUUGAGGGUUGAAACCCGCCCUCAUGAAUAUGGAAUCCCUAGUAACCGCGUGUCAUCAUCGCGCGGUGAAUAC
rnacentral:rRNA from 1 species